rnacentral:rRNA from 1 species
AGCAGCCGCGGUAAUUCCAGCUCCAAUAGCGUAUAUUAAAGUUGUUGCAGUUAAAAAGCUCGUAGUUGAAUUUCGGGAUCAAUAUGUUGGUCGUGCCUUGGUACGUACUAAUUUAUUGGUUUCUUCCUUCUGACGACCAUGAUGUCAUUAAUUUGGUGUCUUGGGGAAUCAGGACUGUUACUUUGAAAAAAUUAGAGUGUUUAAAGCAGGCUCACGCUUGAAUACAUUAGCAUGGAAUAAUGAAAUAGGACGUUUGAUUCUAUUUUGUUGGUUUCUAGGAUUGACGUAAUGAUUAAUAGGGAUAGUUGGGGGCAUUAGUAUUCAAUUGUCAGAGGUGAAAUUCUUGGAUUUAUUGAAGACUAACUACUGCGAAAGCAUUUGCCAAGGAUGUUUUCAUUAAUCAAGAACGAAAGUUAGGGGAUCGAAGACGAUCAGAUACCGUCGUAGUCUUAACCAUAAACUAUGCCGACUAGGGAUCGGAUGAUGUUAAUUUUUAAUGACUCAUUCGGCGCCUUACGGG